UUGCAUUAUUUGAUACUUCAUUCGUGCAUAAAAACUUGACAGUAACUAUUGUCAUUAAUGGUUAAACGUUUUUGACGACACGCCAAACUUUAAAUAAAUUUUAUUUCAAAAAUGAAACUUCACGGAAAUUCCUUUGCUGUGCUUUGCUGGAUUUUCUUACCCGUUGUAUUUGGGAUUUCUGAUAGGUUUGUGUUCAAGAUAAAUUCAGAUGUUCAGGAAAUGGAGGAAAAUCUUCGAGUCUACAAUUUUAUAGAUAUGUUCAAGAUUACUCCCACUGUUUACAGUUUUAAGUAUGUCGGAUCCCUCAGUACAUCAAAAAUUGAACAUGUUUUAUCAGAAGUCAAACGAGUAUACAGAGACAGAAUAAUCGAGAUUGAACAAGCUAAAGAAUGCAUUAACUGUAUUCCAGUGGACCGCAUAGAUGUAAUGCCCGUUGCUUCGGAACACGAAAGCGGACUGUUUCCAGAGAACGAGGAGAAUGAGACUUAUUUUGGGAUGAACGUCGAGAAUGCCUGGUUUCAUGGAUACAAUGGGACUGGUAUAAAUGUCGCCGUGUUAGAUGUUGGCAUAAAUACAAACAUAAUAGACCUCAGACAAAAUAUAAACAAGGCGUUGGCGUUCAACUUCAUAGACAAUACGACCAAUGUGACGCCAGAAUAUUUCCAUAGUUAUUGGGCAGAUUCAUUGCGUUUUGUCGACCACGGAAACAGAUGUGCAAGUGUUAUAGCUGCUAAAAAAGGGAAUGGUGUUUGCGGUGCCGGUAUUGCAUAUGAAGCAAAUGUUGUUCCUUUGAAGGUAUUUUCGGUGAAGCUUGAGUAUCAGCAAUUCAAGCUAUUCACUACCUUUGAUAUCAUCGCUGCAGCACUUGCCUAUCGUUUACAGCAUAUUCACAUCUACUCGAACAGCUGGGCGCCACCCGAAAAAUUUGAACCUCUCGAUCUGGCGACAAGAGAAGCUAUUCUGAACGGAGUGACAAAGGGCAGAAACAAACUUGGAGCAAUUUAUGUUGUACCUGAUGGGUCGGAUGGUAUUUCUGGCAGUGGACUUGCCAAUAGCAUACACACUAUCACUGUUAACAGUGUUGGUGUCAAUGGCGUAUUGCCACCAAAAGCACAAGUUAGUGCGAAUGUGUUAACUUCAGGUCUUGGAGAAGGAAACAAACUCAAUAAAAAUUACAUGCUUACUUCUUCUUUCAACAACAGAUGUAUCAAAUCAUUCAAAGGUGUAUCAGCAGCUGUUGCAGAAGUAUCAGCAAUUAUUGCCCUUGCGUUACAAGCAAGGCCAGGUUUAUCGCAGAGAGACAUUCAACACUUACUUGUUGAGUCAUCGGAGCAACAAAAACUAGCUAAAACUGUUGUAUUUAAACGAAAUGCAGCGGGAAAGUUGUGUAAGUCAAUUCAAUUUGGAUAUUUAUCAUAGUUUUGUCAAACAGAAAAUUAACCUUUUUUUCAGUUUAUUAAUAUCCGUUAUCAUAGAUUAAUUGUCGUGUUGUGUAUGGUUAUUUUGGUAUUUAUGUUUUAUGUAACAUGUUUUCGCCUGAAUAAUACGAAGAGAAAACUACAAAGAUGCCUAGUAGACGAAACUGACAAUAGACAGUUAUGUUGUUUUCUAAAUAUUAAUAAGCGCUCACAGACCGCUUAUCAAUUUGAUCUUAGAAUCUAUAAACAGCUAUUUAAAGUCAUUCUAAUAAUUGCAUAAAUAAUGAAAUCCCUAGGUCUGUGACCACUUUUUGUAGGACUGGUAUCAAUUGCUUUUGGAGUUUACAGGCGGUUCUUUUAAGGAUGUAGUAAACAAAAGAUACUGCCAUAAGAACAAUUUAACAUACAUGCUACCGAUAUCGACUGUUCUGCCCGUAUAGUAAAGAGGACUUUGCCACCGACACCACUGCAGCAGAAUUUGAAAACAAAGACAAAUAUCAAACAGGGAAUGCCACGUACCAAAAUCGCAGCCUCCCCAAAACGAAACCUACAGCACGCAGACGCGCACACCACAAACACACACACACACUUACACAAAGCCAACACACGAGGACAAAACGAACAAUUAACUUCUUCCUUGGGUUUGGGCUAAUUGACGCUGAGAAAAUGGUAACACUUU
rnacentral:misc_RNA from 1 species